rnacentral:rRNA from 1 species
UACGAAGGGGGCUAGCGUUGCUCGGAAUCACUGGGCGUAAAGCGCCCGUAGGCGGACUCUUAAGUCGGCGGUGAAAUCCUGGAGCUCAACUCCAGAACUGCCUUCGAUACUGAGAGUCUCGAGUCCGAGAGAGGUGAGUGGAACUGCGAGUGUAGAGGUGAAAUUCGUAGAUAUUCGCAAGAACACCAGUGGCGAAGGCGGCUCACUGGCUCGGUACUGACGCUGAGGAGCGAAAGCGUGGGGAGCAAACAGG